UAUUGAAAAUUUCAUCCGUUUCUACUAUUAAAAACUGACAUGGUUGACGGAAUAACCAACUAGUUACACGUGGCGUGCCACAUUUACCUCAUUUUGAUGUACAGGGACCAGUUUUUAAUAUUAGAAAAAGAUGAAAUUUUUAAUA
rfam:Gossypium raimondii Chr02_contig_1478, whole genome shotgun sequence.